rnacentral:pre_miRNA from 1 species
AAAGGUGCAUUUAGUGCAGAUAGUGGCAUAGCUGGCAUUCUACUGCUCUAUGUGCUCCUUCUUU